rnacentral:rRNA from 1 species
UGAGGAAUUUUCCGCAAUGGGCGCAAGCCUGACGGAGCGACGCCGCGUGAGGGAUGAAGGCUUUCGGGUCGUAAACCUCUUUUACAAGGGAAAAAGGCGCAAGCUUGAUGGUACUUUGUGAAUAAGCCCCGGCUAACUACGUGCCAGCAGCCGCGGUAAUACGUAGGGGGCGAGCGUUGUCCGGAAUUACUGGGCGUAAAGGGCGUGUAGGCGGUUGGAAAAGUCUGGUGUGAAAUGUCUCGGCUUAACCGGGACGCUGCGCUGGAAACUUUCUGACUGGAGUAUGUGAGGGGUAACUGGAAUCCCCGGUGUAACGGUGAAAUGUGUAGAUAUCGGGGGGAACACCUGUGGCGAAGGCGGGUUACUGGACCAUUACUGACGCUGAUACGCGAAAGCGUGG